CCCCCCCCCCGCCCCAGCGCAGCAGCCAUUUGGCCGCCUGGGCCAGCGUGAGGAAACGGGGCAGGAAUUUGAAACGGGAGCGCAAAACCUGCCUCGGGGGGAGGGCGGUGAGGGGCUGGCACAGGCUGCCCGCAGGAGCUGUGGACGCCCCGUCCCGGGCGGUGUUGGAGGCCAGGCUGGAUGGGGCCUUGGCAAGGUCCCUGAGGACAAAGCACAAACUGUGUUUCGAAAAUGAACCCCUCGUGGUUUUUUUCCAGGUUGAAAUGAGAACGCGCUUGGGGAAGUGGUUUUUGUGUUGGAACAGAAGCCUCCUGAGAUGACGGGAUCGGUUUCCUGGUUUCCUGGCAGCUCCCAGCACAGCACCCGGGGCAGGGCUUGGGGCUCUGCCUCCACCCCUCCUCUGCGUGGGCUCUUGCCUACAGAGUGGGAACAAACUGGGCAGCACUGGGCAAACUGGGGCUGUUCUCACCUGCCCAGAGCUUGCUCUGGGGUCCAGGGGCUGCUUCCCCAUCCCUUCUUCAGUCUCAGCUAAACCUUUCCACCUCUUUCCACUUCUUUUGCUAGACAGGAUCCCCUGCCAGAGGCUUCCUCCGAGGCAGAAUGACACAGAGCAUGACUAUAGCACAGCCACCAAACUGCAAAGGGUACUCUGGCAUGUCCUCUGCUUCCUGUACGCCAUGGCAGCAAGGCCUUGGUGCUACCUGCACUGUUAUGUAAAUUAGAAGGUGGCUGCAAGGACAAUUUGAUAUGUAUGUAUUUUUUUUAGCCAGCGUUAGCACCGUGAUGGACUUCAUACAAUGCAACUGGAGCACUGGCUUGUCUCUGUGACUCUGAGCGCACUUCUGAGCAGAACAGGUGGCACAUCCAGGGUGGCACGUUCUGGCUUCCUGCAACACCUGUUCGUCCCACGCACAUGGGUCUCAUCCCUCAUGCCGCGUCGGGAAGAAGCAAGGAGUGGGCUGCAUUGACUCAGUGGCCGUCUUGUUUAGUCUUGUUUGAGUCCAAUUCACUUCAAGAGCCACUUCAAAAGCCCCGAGAGAGUCGCAUGGGGCAGAACUGAUUCCUGAGUCUUGGGCAGCCUGCCACACUGGGGAACGAACAGUCCUAGUGUUUCUUAUUAAUUUCUACUCCAAACCUUUUUGGAGGCAAGGGGGGUACUUUCCUUCCAUUUAAGGAGGAGCCACAAGUCUGUCUCCUCUUAGUUUUAUUCAAAGAGAGUUGUGAUAAAGGUCUUAUCUUCAAAGAAGCAGAUUUCUCGUAGAGAUGAGCCCGGUUGACCAGAUAGCCCAAGAACGCAGUGAAUAGCAAUGUAUCCUGUCUCUGCAACACAGCCAAAAUGCUGAGGAGUGAAAGGAUCCUGAUCCCAAAAGUGAAUCUGCUUGGCAUCCUUCAGCAGCCUAAAGCAUUGCAGAGCCCAAGGUCUCCUUUUUGUGUGUGUAAACUCUCCCCGUUUUCACGUAGGGAGGUGGCCACCUGCUGACUCCCCACCUGUCAGACCUUGACUUGUGGAUCUGUGAGACAUCACACUGGGCUGCCGUUCCAGGUGAAAACCUGGGAUCAGGGAAAGCUGAGAGUACAGAGCACAACAACCAGAUGAGAAAACCCCAGAUCCUCUGCCGAUUUGGUGAUUAUUUCAAUCUCAGUAUUAUGAAUCUGGGAAAUGAGCACUUGAAGCAAUUGAAGAACUUGAAGGAAGAAACAAAGUAUGAAGAUACCUAAACAAUCUUAAUUUUGCCCUGUAUCAGUCUCUCUCAGUAAUUAUGUUGCUGCUAUUAAAAUCUAUUUGUUGUCAUCCCAGAUUUUAUUACAUGGGUUUUUAAUCAGUGACAUGUUAGUGACAAAAGCCUCGUCUUAUCCUAAUUAUAGUCUCAUGGCUCCAAAUAUAGUCUGUAUGCAAAACUUCAGAAAAUUUGAGUCUAUAAGGGUCUGUAAAGUCUUCAUUGUUCCCUUGCAAAUACCAUUCCAGACAAAGAAAAAAAAAAAUAAGACAAAGAAAAAAAAUGUAAAAAUGCUGCACUCCUUAAAGAAAUCCCUUUUAAUCCUUAUAAUUCAGAAAGUAUCUAAUAGAUUUAAUUCUGACAGUGUGUGCUGCACGUUCUUGACAGAGGUUCUUACACACUAAAUAAAAGCCAAAUCCCUCUCAGAAGGGAAGGACAAAGCCUCCAUCUCGCAGCCCCAGCCUGCACAGCCCAGCUCAGAGCAUAACUGCGCAGAUCAAUCCUGCACGGCUGAGCUGUAACCUCAGACAGAAUCGGGGACGGAAAAGUGCCAGCAGAGCUGAUUGCAUCUGUGGCCAAUGCUCAGCUGCUGAAUAUAAGCAGGACAGAAAUCUGCUACCAAGCUGACCUUCCCCGGGAGACAUCCUGACGAGGCAGUGUCACAUCCCAGGAGUGCUGGGGAUGUUUGCAGAGGUGGCUGCACCAGGCUCUUGGGUCCACGAUCUCAGUGGCCCCAAGGGCCCCCAGGAGCUUCACCCCACAGCACCCUGUGGCAGCUUUGUCCAGGCCACGAACCGAGCGGCGAGCAAAAGCUCUUGAGCUGGAAGAAGCGCUCAGUGCUUCUGCUCAGGAAUUUUCAGGCCUCGGCUGGAAGUCACUCUGUUCACUGGGCGAGAGCCCUGCUCUCUCCUUCCUUGUUUGGAUGGCUGUGCAUGAUUUGGGUCACCAGAAAGGGACAUCCCACAGGCUGCCCCAUCCCGUGUGGCCUCAGACCUACUCACCAUAGCUCUGGCAGCUCCCUCCAGCUCAGCCAUGCUCGUGCCAUAGCAUCUGCCCCUGUGCUUCUAGUUUGUGCGCUGUGUGGUCACUCUGUCACCAACUGGUUCAGCUUGGCUGUCUCCCGUAUGCUUUGGAUUAAGUAAAAAUUGUGUUUCGAACACCUUGCCUGGGCUUUAGUUUCUUUGCUAUGAAAGGAAGCAACGCGCAGUGGAGUGAGACAAGGAGCCCUGGGACCAUCGCUGCCUGCGCUCUGCCCGAGCUGCGGUCGCUGCCUCUGCUAAAGGCGCCGAAGCAUCUGCAGUGGGAAAGAAGCACCCUCAUCCCCCCGGCAGCAGAUGUAGAGCCACCUCCUGGUUCAGUGCCAAAAACUUGGGAAUUCAGGUCACCCCAGUGCCCCUCCAGUGCUUUAUCCAGCAGUCACGUUUCUGCGCCGAGGGGACUGAACGUCCGAGGUUGCCACGUCCAGGCACUUCGUUCCCUUAGCAAGCUCGUUAAAUGCUAGGGGAAGA